GAUGAACGCUAGCUACAGGCUUAACACAUGCAAGUCGAGGGGUAACGAGAGGAAAGCUUGCUUUCCUUGUCGACGACCGGCGCACGGGUGAGUAACGCGUAUCCAACCUGCCCCCAACUAGGGAAUAACCUUGCGAAAGUAAGACUAAUACCCUAUAAUUUCCUCAGAUGUCAUCUGACGAGGAAUAAAGAUUUAUCGGUUGUGGAUGGGGAUGCGUCUGAUUAGCUUGUUGGCGGGGUAACGGCCCACCAAGGCAACGAUCAGUAGGGGUUCUGAGAGGAAGGGCCCCCAAAUUGAAGCGGAGAAACGGUCCAAACUCCUACGGGAGGCAGCAGUGGGGAAUAUUGGUCAAUGGGCGGAAGCCUGUACCAGCCAAGUAGCGUGCAGGAUGACGGCCCUAUGGGUUGUAAACUGCUUUUAUACAGGAAUAAAGUUAGCCACGUGUGGUUAUUUGUAGGUACUGUAUGAAUAAGGACCGGCUAAUUCCGUGCCAGCCGCCGCCGUAA
rnacentral:rRNA from 1 species